rnacentral:sRNA from 1 species
AUUCCUGUUCUUUCAAUUUUUACCAUAUCCAGCACUUUUAUUCUGGAUGUUUUGUAAAAGAAUGUACAGGUAAGAGGAACCUGGGAGUAUGCAAGAAAUAUUUGUUGAACGAAUGAAGGUCAAUAUACUAUUAGUAGUUCUAUUCUUCCUACUCAUUUAUUUUUGUGGAAAGAACAGAAAUGUUGACUCUUUGAAUUCCUUCCCCCUUUAUACAAACAUUGUCAGUAAUCUUAACUUUCUUUUAAAUUUAGGGAUAAAGUAAUUCCUAAUAAAGUGGGGACAUAUUGUAUCCAGUUUGGUUUUAUGAUGGAUAAAACAAAUAUUCUCCACAGUGAACAGGUUAUAGUUGAAGUCCUGCCUAAUCAACCUGUGAAGUUAGUACCUAAAAUUAAACCACCUACACCAGCUGUUUCAAAUGUUCGCUCAGUUGCCAGUAGGACCUUGGUCAGAGAUCUACAUCUUAGUAUCACGGAUGAGUACGACAACCAUACUGGAAUUGAUUUGGUUGGCACUAUAAUAGCCACCAUUAAAGGCUCUAAUGAGGAAGAUACUGAUACCCCACUUUUUAUUGGGAAAGUUAGAACACUUGAAUUCCCCUUCGUGAAUGGUUCGGCUGAAAUCAUGAGUCUGGUGCUGGCAGAAAGUAGUCCUGGAAGGGAUAGUACUGAAUAUUUUAUUGUAUUUGAGCCCCGGCUACCACUUUUAUCAAGAACCUUAGAACCAUAUAUCCUACCGUUC